GACGAACGCUGGCGGCGUGCCUAAUACAUGCAAGUUGAGCGCUGAAGGUUGGUACUUGUACCAACUGGAUGAGCAGCGAACGGGUGAGUAACGCGUGGGGAAUCUGCCUUUGAGCGGGGGACAACAUUUGGAAACGAAUGCUAAUACCGCAUAAAAACUUUAAACACAAGUUUUAAGUUUGAAAGAUGCAAUUGCAUCACUCAAAGAUGAUCCCGCGUUGUAUUAGCUAGUUGGUGAGGUAAAGGCUCACCAAGGCGAUGAUACAUAGCCGACCUGAGAAGGUGGACCGCCAAAUUGGGACUGAGACACGGCCCAAACUCCUACGGGAGGCAGCAGUAGGGAAACUUCGGCAAGGGACGAAAGUCUGACCGGGCAACGCCGCGUGAGUGAAGAAGGGUUUCGGAUCGUAAAACUCUGUUGGUAGUGAAGAACGUUGGGGGGAGUGGAAAGCUCAUAAAGUGACGGUAACUACCCAGAAAGGGACGGCUAACUACGUG
rnacentral:rRNA from 1 species